UUCCCAAAAAAUUACUCAGCUACUUUUUUAUACGAGGAAACUACAGCUAGGAGUGUGCUGGUAAAUCGGAAGACAUCUUCCUACUACUCUGCUGCUAAAGAAUUAAUUUAAUGGAGUGCUGCAGAUGAAAUUCCUACAAUUAUUGCUAACAAAUUGUGAUUUUUCUGCCAUUAACCACUUUAGUAGAAGUGGAUAUAGAUUUGAAGUUGCCCAUCCCACCACCACCA
rnacentral:lncRNA from 1 species